AGAGUUUGAUCCUGGCUCAGGACGAACGCUGGCGGCGUGCUUAACACAUGCAAGUCGAACGGAAAGGCCCUUCGGGGUACUCGAGUGGCGAACGGGUGAGUAACACGUGGGUGAUCUGCCCUGCACUCUGGGAUAAGCCUGGGAAACUGGGUCUAAUACCGGAUAGGACCGCAUGCUUCAUGGUGUGUGGUGCAAAGCUUUUGCGGUGUGGGAUGAGCCCGCGGCCUAUCAGCUUGUUGGUGGGGUAAUGGCCUACCAAGGCGACGACGGGUAGCCGGCCUGAGAGGGUGACCGGCCACACUGGGACUGAGAUACGGCCCAGACUCCUACGGGAGGCAGCAGUGGGGAAUAUUGCACAAUGGGCGCAAGCCUGAUGCAGCGACGCCGCGUGAGGGAUGACGGCCUUCGGGUUGUAAACCUCUUUCAGUAGGGACGAAGCGCAAGUGACGGUAUGUGCAGAAGAAGGACCGGCCAACUACGUGCCAGCAGCCGCGGUAAUACGUAGGGUCCGAGCGUUGUCCGGAAUUACUGGGCGUAAAGAGCUCGUAGGUGGUUUGUCGCGUUGUUCGUGAAAACUCACAGCUUAACUGUGGGCGUGCGGGCGAUACGGGCAGACUUGAGUACUGCAGGGGAGACUGGAAUUCCUGGUGUAGCGGUGGAAUGCGCAGAUAUCAGGAGGAACACCGGUGGCGAAGGCGGGUCUCUGGGCAGUAACUGACGCUGAGGAGCGAAAGCGUGGGGAGCGAACAGGAUUAGAUACCCUGGUAGUCCAA
rnacentral:rRNA from 1 species